CAUCAAUAGUGUGGCCUUGCAGUCCUGGCGGGCUUCUCUUUAUCCGAGAGGUUUUGAUCAGCUCCCUUGAUGUGCCCUGGCCGCAACAAUUAAAAGACGUGUGCUUCUGGCUCUGCUCUUGCAGGGGAUUUUUUGUUUAUUUUUAAUGUCCUGAUUCAGUAUCCAGCUCUGAAAUGAAGAUGUCUUGAUAAGAUGACUUACAAAGGGAAAAAUUGCUUGUGCUCUGUUUUCCUUGCUUGUGGUAUUUAAAGAAUCUGAUUUGUUUUGCCCUUUUCUUAACCCUAAAAUAUCAGUAGCGCCAGGUUUUGCUGCAGAGCUGUAUUAUCAGAGAGCCUAAAUAAUCUGGGGAAAACCUAAUCGGUUGCUUAUCUACUGACAGAGGAAGGUAUGGCAUUUGUAAUAAAAGGAUUUUCUAGGCUGUUACCAAGCAUUUGAAUUAAAUGGGUAUUAAUGAAAACAAUUUCAAAGGUUUUGAGCAAUUGGAUUAAAAACCUUUCAUCUUUUGUAGUGCAGAAGACUUUACAGACAACUGGAGAAUUUGCACGGCUGUGAGUUGCAGAGGCCAGAGACACUUGUACAAAGAAAUUCUUUUAGCAUAAAAAUCCCAAGAAAAAAAAAAAUCACUCUUAAAUAAUUACCAGAGCUUUCACUGCCCCUGGUGAGUGGCUGUACCAGCUGUGGAAUAAAUGCAGAGCUCAGGCAAGGUGGUAAAUUCUGCCCUUUCAACUCCCAAACACUGACUAUUUAGGACACAAAAACACUGAGAAGGGAGAAAUAAUUCAUGUGAAUGUCAGGAGAGAUCCUAUCAGCAUGGGUUAAUCGAACAGAUUAAAUUCUUCCCAAUACUACCAGUGCACUAAAUUUGGUGGUGCUGCUGUCACACCUUCUCAUGAGCUCUCAUCCUUGUGGUUUGAAGUUUGCAGGCAAAGGGGAAAAUACACACUUAGAUUGCAACCAAUACCGUACAUUUUCUUUCCUUCUCCUUGUCUCCCCCAACAGAAAUGGCGCUACUUAUUCUAAGCAGAAGUAGGUAGGUGAAAUUGCAGCUUUUAUACAGCUCCUACCCAUUCCCUUUACCACUGUCCUGCCCUGAGACCAUCAAACACUUGCACAGUAACGCCUGGCUCUGCGCAGAGACACUCAGCCUUUGAACCACAAGCAGGUGGUGCCAUUAGCCCGCUUUGGCUGCGUGCCUUUCACCAGCACCACACUGACCCAUUUGUUUCAGCUGAUUGUGAAACGAUAAAAAAGGAAGUUCUUUAUAAAAACAGGGAAGAUUUUUCCAAAGCCUGCAAGAUGUGACUGGGUUUCAAAGCUAAAAUUGAUUCAACAAGUGGAAAUGGCAAUUUUGUCAGCACUCAGUUCUAAGUAGAGUCAGAGCUCGGGCAUGAACUCUUUCUCCAAACCAUCCUUAGCUUUUUAGUUCUUUCUACAUUUCUUCUUUGGUUUGCAAAGCAAUAUUUCCUGCAUGUCUUUUCAGUGAGACCCAUUUAUUACCACUCAUCGUACAUGUACAAUAUCCUUGUGCACCAAGGUCUUUUCAUGCUCAGGUUGCAUAUUAUUAUUCAGCCAGGAAAAAAUUAGUAACAACUGCUUUCAUUUUUCAACCCUUACUGGAAAUGUGGCCUUCCUCAUUCCCUCUCCAUAAAUUACAUUUUACCUUCUCAAUAGCAGUAACACAUUUCACUCAAAUGCUGGUUUUUUAUCAGAAGCCUUCAAAGCACUUUCCCAAGUUGAGCAGUAAUAGCAGCAUUUGGAUUCUGAUGGGAAACCAAGUCACAGAAAAUAGACCAACACCCAGCCUGCCCUGAUGGGAAGGGAUGUCAUUGAGGUAGUCACUAGAGCCCUUUGAGUAGAGGGCGGGCGUUCACAGACCCCUUCCUACACUGCCUUUCCCUCCCAGAGUAUAAAGGUCUCAGUGCUUCCAAAAAUCAGGAGUAGAAUCCUCAAGUGGGGCACCAGCACCCAGGAAUUGGCAGCUGAAGGACCUGGUCACUGCUAGUUGGUGGCAGGGUGAGGGUUGAAGCCGGCUCUCAUUGUUCAUUGAUUCUGGCUACAAUAUGCUGUGCAACCUUCUAGCCAAGGCUCCUUUACUAACUGAAAUGAGAGUGGUAAGAGCAAAGAUGAACUUCUUAAUUACUGAGGUUCACUGCUGGCAUCUGAGCUGUCUGCCAGGGUUGGGAGAAGGAGAUGGUAUUUAGAGAGCCAGAAAUUCAGGAACCAGUAACUCUCAAGCCUACAGCUGAGUGUAACAUGAUGACGUCUGGCUGAAAUUCUUGGCAGUUCACCCGCACGAUGCUGAAAUGCUCCAGCAGCUCUGGUAGGAAAUAAACAGAGCCAGACAGGUAUGGGCUCUAUAAAUGGAUCUCACCCACAGAGCUCAUCAGGCUCCUGACAGAUACACAUCAUGCAGGCCACUGUCAUUUGUUCUAUUGUAGUCUCAGUGAUACGUUAACAUUUGAAGAUUAAGUAGGCUUUUCAAGCAGGCUUUUAACACUAUGAGACAGUCCUUUCUGAUAGCUCUUCUUGCACAUUUUGAAUUACUGAUUUAUUUUGUCUGUUUUAAUCUGAUCCCUUGCUUCAGGCUCAUUCUUAUAGUGCAAACUGUGCUCUCAUCCAGAGGGACUCCUUCCUUCAGAUUAUUUUGAUAAAUGUCUGUAUUCACCUUCCUACCAACCUGGAUUCCUCAAGGGAAAAUUAUCUCCAGGAAAUCUAUUGAUGUUCAAAGAAUUGAGCCAGGAGGAUCUGAAGAUCCAAAUCCCAGCACUUUAUCCUUCCAAGGUGGAGAAACCAAGUCUAUAUGAUUUUCUAAUGGCAAGCCUCCCCACACCUGCUGGGUUCAAAUUUUGGGUCCUCUGCUUCCUCUUUAAACUGUCAACACUGGCCAAAUCUCAUCUUUCUCAUCUCAUUUUUGUUUGCUUGCCUUCCACAGAAAUGACUGCAUUUUUGCAAAGAACUUAGGAAUGCAGUUACUUUGUAUGCACCAGUAACGGACAAUGCAAAUGACUGAUGAUCAACUUAAUUACAACGUGCCUUAGUUUUGCCACUUGGGAUAAGACAUUUGAAGCAAAAUAUGUCCCAGCCUACCUCUAAGAUGGCAAACCUAUGCAAAAAAUAUAACCUUAGGCAGUUCUGUUUAAUUUACCAUUAGGACAUAUGUGAUGUUAGUCACCACCACAUCUCUCAAGUAAACGAAAACCAGUGAGAACAGUUGUGUGGGGCUCUCUCAGGAGUGGUGGAGUUUGGAGAAGCUGGGGACCAACAUCCACUGUCUGUGCCAUUUUUGAGAAGCGCAGAAAAGCUUUUGAUAGCUGAGAAUACAGGAUGGGGUUUUUUUUGCCAUUUGCUGAGCUCUUACUGUCAUUAGUUUCAACCUCACAAGGUGAGCAGGACCAUUUCACAUGCUGCUCAGCUUAUCUGAAGCUGUAUGUUGUGCACCUGGAAUAGACAGGGGCAAUUUUUUAAAGCAUGGCAUGGAGACCGGAGGAGGUAAAGCUAAGAGGAAAUCAAUAUCUGGGAAAUUACUGCAGGAUCCUAACACUGUGUCCUUUGUCAGUGAAGGAUUGGCACUGAAUAAAAGUAGCUGGCAUGUGCUUCACCCAAGGACCCUAGGGAGGUUGGGUCCACAUGGAUGUGGCUCCAAAGCUGGGCAGUUCCAGCUGCAGAAGGACCUGUGGCAGCUCGUACCUGGCUGUAGGCUCCAUCAGGCUUGCACUGGUGUAGGCUUGGGUUUAGAGGGCAAAUAGACAGUUACCCACGGCGCGGUGCUAACCUGAAGCGAUGAUCUGUGGGAGGUAAUUUGAGGGUUACAUACCUCUGGUUUGGGAGCCAAUGGAUGUUGACACCACUAGCUGUGGUAGCGAGAGGUGGGGAGGAACUGGGAAGGUUCUAGGGACAAACCAAGGGAUUUUUAUGGGCCCCUUCCAACCUGAGAUAUUCUAUGAUUCUACAUUUUGAAGAGAAAAAGCCAUUCAUUUUGCAAAAGCUUGUUAUGCCAAAUUAUUACUGAUAUUACCCCUAAAAUCAAUGCCACUGAUAAGCACAGAGCAGCUCUCAGGCUGUGGAGUGCAGAACUGAAGCAAGAGCAUGCAGGGGGUACCAGCUCCACCUGUGUGACUACUCUACUAAAAAAAAAUGACCACGAGAACAAAGACCAUAGUUUCCAGCUCCAAAGAUGCACUGCAACACAACACAGAUGGAUGCAAAACUGGCUCCAAACAACACUGGAUCCUGUCACAGUCUGUGGCAUCUUCAUUCAGAGAUGUUAGCAGCCAGAGCAUCCAUCGUGGGACUCAAGCUGAGGCUAACUGCUGGCAGUAGCAGGGAUCACAGCCAUUUCUGCUGCAGCAGAAGUAGCCUCGGUAGCCAGAAGGAGAGCUCAAAGAGUCUGGUAGAGGAGCUCCACAAAUGACCCUUCUGGGUCCUAUGAAGACAUGAAGGUUUUGACUAAAGCUGGGACAGGAAAUCCCAAGGACAGAAAAGCUGCUCUAUUUCAGAACUCCUAAGCUGGAUACACCCAACAGAGCUUGGAGGGUUUUUUAGAAAUUUCUGCUGCCUCUCAUAAUUAAUCUGAAGUCAUGAAGACAGCUUGUUGUUGUGUGAGCCUUGCUGGAUCCAGCUGUGAAUGACAGAAACCCAAUCCAGGCAGUGCAAAGAAACCCUGAGGACGAUGAAGCUUUAGAGACCCUUCUUUGAAAGCAGCCCACUUGAGAUACGAACACAGAUCACAGCCCUCCUAAUCCAAGCUAGGCAGCAGGCAGCUAUAAACAAGUCAAUUACAGACUGAUUCUCCUUGAUCUGAGAGAUACUGCCCCGUAUCUUACAGCAGCUCUGUGUAAGGCAAAGGGCCAGGCGGACAGAGAAUUAUCUCAAAACCACACUGUAGAAUGAAAUUACCUUGAUAUAGUGUUGGCUCUCAACUGGUUUAACAACAUGGUCUGAUUCAUCUGUUCAGCCAGUGUAGCACCAAGACAGUGGAAGAAAAACGUCAUGCUGAAAAAUUGGUGCAACCAGCCUCACACAUGAGAGAACAUGAGCAGAUUGUUUCAAAAAAGCAAACAAAAAUCCCUUUCCAGUUUGCAGAGACAGUGUGCAGCUGUGUGAACCGGUACAUGGAUUUUGGAAAACCUGCUCUGUGCUACCCAGAAAUCUGCUUCUCCAGCGUUCACGAGUAGAUGAUACAAAUUAUGUACCUUCCUGAUUUGCACAGCAGAUCCUCUCCCCAUGAACAGGCUAGUGCUGUUUCUUUUUACAACUGGAAGAAGGCAGUAGUUCUUGCUUCUCUUCACAUUGUUGUUCUGUUUCUGGAUUCCACUGCAAGGGCCCUGGUCAGCUCAAGCUCCUGCUUUGGUCCAUUCAAUCAUUGUUCAUGAUUUCUCUGUGGAGUGGCCUGGUUCUGAUUUGAUACCAAAGGGAAUGUGAGCCCUUGGAGCACUCAAAGCCGGGAGAGCCCAAAGGCAUCGGUGUACAUCUGUCUAGGUAUACAGCGACUGUUAUUUAACACCAGAGUCAUUCAGCAUGCCAGGCUCACUCAAGCCUUUCCGACUGUUGGGUUAUUGCUUACUGAGAGUCUACGGUGUGGAAGGAGGAUAUUGCUUGAUAAAGGAGUGAGCCAUAAUCACAGUGCUGAUUUCUCACCUCAGCAAGAAGCAAAGGGGCAAUGGCAGAGUCAGACCAGCCCUGAAUGCUUCAGACUGCCUGCACAUGCAGGUACCCACGUGCACACCAGAUGCACUUGUCCUUCCCUACAAUCCAUCUCUGCCACCAAUAGCUGCGAUGAGCCCUCCAGUGCAAGGGGAAAGUAUUCCGCAGCAGGCAGGUAUGUGUCAUCUCAUCUGCUGAAACUUCCCCCCAGCAACGAGUUACACAAGCCCCAACGGAUCCCCAUCAAUUCUGGGCAUUAUAAAGUCAAUAUGAAAAAUCUUGCAGGUGGAGCUCAUGCUGGCACCUCAUUUUUAACUCCUCUGAACUGUCCUGGUCUUCUGGGCACCAAGGCUAUGUGUUCUUUUUAAUGGGGCUUUCAUAUACCUUGUUCCAGGAAUGAAAACAGCUGCCAGUGCAUGCAGCACCCCAGGGAAGACCCUUGCCUUUUUCCAGAGCACAUGAACGGAGCGGAGCUCUCCAGCUGCUCUGUGUGCUUGAUAUGAAGCUGUGAUAUUUGCAAGGGACUGAAGCAUGAACUGCCCUGCUAAUGCUAGCAGGUGUGAGUAACAAAGGAGAAGGAGGAAAAGGCUGAUAAUCAAAGAAAAUAGCAAAAAGACAAAUCUUCCUGAGCAGGCAGUGUGAGGAAGUAUUAAUGGUUAACUCUCAUUGUGGAGCAGGAGGAAAAAAUGCAAUUGCAAAGAGAAAGUUUACCUUGCAAAGCAAAUUUGUCAUUUACUCUGCCAGAUUAUCAUUAUUAUUUGCUCUUCAUUCUUUGAACAAUAGAGAAGGCAUGCAAAUGACCCUCGACUACAGGCAUAACCCUCUCCCUGCAACCUCCCUGCCUUCGUCCUUGCACACACAAAAAAAGAGGAUGCUAAACACACGCUUUGAAAUUCAGGAGGAUAAUUGAUUCUCUGACGUGUAGAAGCCCACAGGAUUCCUGAGGGAGCCACAGGUAUAUAAGGAGGAGUUGCACCUCCCCAGCAGCCAGAGGACAGCUGGGGGGAGAUCUGAGAGUGUCCUCCCUGCUCAGCACACAUCCCGGGUCCUGCCCAGGCACUGCACGGAGGGGACGAACCCAGCAGGGCUCACAAAAGCAGCUCUGGAGAGGAAGAAGUUGUAUUCACAACAGGGGAAGGAAACACCUGGGCAGGAGCCGAUCGAGGAAACGCUUGUUUUCUAAGGGAACGGUGACUCCAAAGGGUGGAAGAUGCUGGAUAAGGCUGCCCUGCUCCUGUUCUUGCAUUUAGUUUCAUGCUCCAUCUCCCCUCCUCUCUACCCAGCUCUCAGGUAAGCUGCUGAGUGUUUUAUCCACGCUCUCGGUUCCUACCUCUUCUCUGACCUUGUGCAAUAUAAGCACGUGCCAAAUUAAGGUUGCCAGCACUUCUGAAAGCCAGAUGAACCGUAUGUGCAUUGCUAAGCCUAGUUCUUUGCCCUGGCUUAAUUUUUUGGGUACAUUGCUAGCCUAGGAGUGGUUUCUGAAGGCAGGCACCUGACAGAAUAUUUCAGCCCAAACAGUUGGUUUUAUAAUUGAAUGUUGGGUUCUAUAAAGGGAAAUAUGACAAUCUUCAGAGCAGGCAGCACCUCCAGCUCCAUCACUGAUUUGUGCUGGCAGGCCACCUGCAUUGAAGUCAGAACUGCAGAUAUUCUAGUACAUGAACUCAACAGCUGCCUAUUAAUAUUUCAAGCAUUUCCUUGUCAACUGUUAGAAGUUGUAAUAUUACUUCAUACCACUACAAAUCGAUGGAAAUACAAAACUGAGCAUUGGGUUCUAUAAUGUGGAUUUGCAACGUCACAUAGAAAAUUCUUUAGCCCUGUGCCAAAGCCGUGGCAUAACGAUACCAGAAUUGCCGAGGAUGCCUGAGGAUGCUGGAAGCUCAGCAAGAGGCAAGUAUGUUUGAGGCAGGACACUUUCUAGCUGGGGAGAGCGAUGGACAACAUUUGCAUUACUGAUGAGAUGGAGAUGACAAAAGGAGAAAGAAAAAGCAAGCGUAGAGGGUGCAGUGGUCAAGAAGACUGAUCCCCGACUGGCAAUUGAGCACAUCUUGUAGUAUGCCCUGGGUUUGUCUUGCAGGUACAGUCCAGGGCUGGUUGCUGGCAAGGCUGUGAACUUCCAGCUACAGCACAGCAGCCCGCUGCAGAGCCAUAACCCCUUGGCAGAGGAACAAGAGGAGGAGGGUUUGUUAACAGAACCCACUGAGAAAAGGUUUGUACCUCACCUCUUGGCCCCGCUGCAGCACGAGUACACCGGUUACAAUCUUCCCUCAUCCCAGGAGCAGACCAGCAGGUCACUUAGUCCCACCAGAACCACAAAGUCCAGGCUCCAGGAGGGGAACUCAGCUGAGCCCUGCAACCAGAGCAGAAGGCUGGGACCAUGCCAGAUCUCAUGGCUUCCCUUACCGUGGAGGGUACCCUUCUGGGAGCCUGGGUCUAACCACAGGCUAGAGACCUGCUGGAGGCUCCUGUCACCCUGCCGCAGACACAGCCCUCCCGGGGGGUGACAGUGCUGCUGCAAAGCACAGAAAUGUCCCAGCCCCAGCGCUGCCCACUCCCAUCCUGUGGUCCUCCUCCUCCCUUCCACUGGUUCUCUGACCUCAUCUCUAGCUUGCAGGCACUUCUCCUUACUUGUUUUAGUGUGGGUAAACAGAUUAACAGACAUUUUAUUUUGCUUGCUGCUUCCACAUCAAGACUGAACUCCCUCAAAUCCUUUUUACCCUCCAACAACUAACAGUCCAAUACCGAAAGGCAUUUGCUAUAGUUAUCUGCCCCCGAUAUCAGCAGUACCACAUCCGAAACACCCAUUUCUCACCUAGAAGGUUCAUCACUAGCUCUAAGAGCACACCCUAUGCUUGUCUUUCAUCCCCAGGAUGCAGCGCCACGCUGAUGCCAUAUUCACUGACAACUACCGGAAAUUCCUGGGGCAGAUUUCCGCCCGCAAAUUCUUACAGACCAUCAUUGGCAAGCGGCUGGGGUAAGCCACAGCGUUUUGCUGUCCUAGGGCUAACGUUUUCACACUGGGCAGUUUCUUCCAUGCGUGUGGCAGAAAUGGCUGCCUUCCCCUGCAACAGAAGCAAUCUCUCCUGCUGUCCCACAUCCCAAAGGGCACCCUGCAUCCCUGUCUCAGAUCCCCCUAAUCACAACUGUCGUUAAGCAGCCUAAUUAAUCCUUUCCUCUAAGGCUGUAAGUAUCAGAUCAGCUGAGAGCUCAGCAUAAUAUCAACAAGCAAUAAUAUUUGCAAAUAAUAGUUGUGAUGAUCAUUCAGUGGUAGGGAACAGUUAUCCCUGGUCUAGUUUGAACACAGAAAACAGCCCCUCCACUAACACUUGGGUAGCUUUGGCUAGAUAGAUCAGUGACUGCCACUGAGACCAACUAGUCAGAUGUGAGCCAGCUCCAAUCCCUCUUCUAACACAGCAGAAAUACAGCUGAUCAGUUUCUUACUGAAACCGAGUAGAAUGGCCCUAGGCUUAGACCCAGCAGGUUCUCUUGCAGUGCUGCUCAGCCUGAGCCAUGCUUUGAGUGAGAGGCUAAAAAGCAUCUCUGAAACAAAGAUGUUUCUCAUCUUUGCAUAACAGGAGCGGUGAGAACAGCCCAGCAGAAGGGGUGCAUGAAUUUCUGACAAGGCGCCAGUCUGACAGCAUCCUGAUGGACAGCCGCUACCACCAACAGACGGUACUAAGGGACUUCCUGGGAGCCAUUCUGCAGAAUCAAAGGCCUCAGGACAUCACCAGCAGUCGGUUAAAAGGCCUUCCUGGCACCCUGGCUAAGCUCAUGUAAAUACUUCUCCCUUUUUCAUCUCCCCAUGCUCUGGUGAGUAACAUUCCCUGCUUAAUUCUGUACAUAACACACUGCUACUGCACUGCUCAAGUGGUUUGAAGACUCUUCUUCAGCAAAGUCAGCUCCCACUGCUGUCCAUGAAAAGGGGUGCUUGCUGCAAUUUAAGAGGAAAAAAAACUUCCAAUCAAAUUUGCCAAGUACCUAAAGUCCUGUUAGUCUGAGCAGAUAAGACCACGAGUGUUAUGAAACUGCACAUGGAUGUCUGGGAACAGGCUUGCAGCAACCAAAAGCAGCCUGUAAAGCCAUCUGAGACAGUAAGCCUGAAUGCCUAAGCUAGGCUAAAGGCAGGUAAAAGUCUUCCUCCAGGAGAAGAACCUGCCUCUAGGUCUCUGAGACAUUUCAGGUUUUCCCUGUGCUGAAUAGAAGAGGAAGUCUUACUGUUUUCAGUACCCCUCAGUCCUCAAAGUGGUCACUUGGAACUUAAAUUAUGCUCUGAAUCUCACCAGCCCUGGGGGACUGGGGUCCAUCCUUGGGAAUACCUUCACUCGUACAAACAUCAGUUGCCCUGUUUGAACUAACCUCAUCUUGCUCCUCUGUCUGUACACAUUAAGCCAGUCCAACCAUAGCCAGCACAGUAUAAAGGGGUGUGGAGAGACCUGUGUGCAUACUGAAAAAAAAGGAGGCUGGGGAGCAGGGGAAGAUCAGAACUUCACAUAAAUUGUGUCUAUAGAUUCAGCUGGGAGAGCACAGCAUUUCAGCAUUUCUCUUACCAUGCUUAACUCUGUUACCUUUCCACAAAUAAGGUCAGCUAGGAAAAAC